UACGGAAGGCAGCAGGGGGAAGUAUUGCACAAUGGGCGGCAAGCCUGAUGCAGCCAUGCCGCGUGUAUGAAGAAGGCCUUCGGGUUGUAAAGUACUUUCAGUCGUGAGGAAGGUGUUAAGGUUAAUAACCUUAGCAAUUGACGUUAGCGACAGAAGAAGCACCGGCUAACUCCGUGCCAGCAGCCGCGGUAAUACGGAGGGUGCGAGCGUUAAUCGGAAUUACUGGGCGUAAAGGGCACGCAGGCGGUUAAUUAAGUUGGAUGUGAAAUCCCCGGGCUUAACCUGGGAAUGGCAUUCAAGACUGGUUAGCUAGAGUCUUGUAGAGGGGGUUAGAAUUCCAUGUGUAGCGGUGAAAUGCGUAGAGAUGUGGAGGAAUACCGGUGGCGAAGGCGGCCCCUGGACAAAGACUGACGCUCAUGUGCGAAAGCGUGGGGA
rnacentral:rRNA from 1 species